rnacentral:lncRNA from 1 species
AAAUGAAUAUUUUAUUUCGGCUACGACAAUCGAACCCUCAUCUUUCCUCUCUGAACUGAACGGUAAUCUUCGUCCCUAUCCCAAGCAAUAGGAGACUUCAGUUGGACAUCAAUAGGAAGAAAAUAAAAAAAAAUGAGAAAAAGAUGAAAUCCUUUUAGAGUCCUUUAAGAAUCUCUUCAAAUUAAUCAAAGAUAUCCUUGGAGAUGUGGAGGGGACACAAACUGAAAAUGAAAAUCAGCUUCAUGGAUCUCCCCCCAACAAGAUCGGUGAAGAAAUUGCCAAGUUUCACAAAUCAAGAUCGAGAAUACCUCUGUUAGAAGAACU